rnacentral:rRNA from 1 species
UACGUAGGGGGCAAGCGUUGUCCGGAAUCAUUGGGCGUAAAGAGCGUGUAGGCGGUUCGGUAAGUCGGCUGUGAAAGUCCAGGGCUCAACCCUGGGAUGCCGGUCGAUACUGCCGGACUAGAGUUCGGAAGAGGCGAGUGGAAUUCCUGGUGUAGCGGUGAAAUGCGUAGAUAUCAGGAAGAACACCGGUGGCGAAAGCGCUCUGCUGGACCUUAACUGACGCUGAGGCGCGAAAGCCAGGGGAGCAAACGGG